GAAGAGAGAGAUUGUGGAUGACGAUUGGUGUUUGAUGGGACGGCGGCGAUCGGCUCCGCCGAUGAAGAAGGUGGACAGUAGAAGGCGGAGAUUCAACCGGAAAACUGUCUCAACGCGUAAAUCUGGCGGCUACGACAACGAUCGGACUCCGCAUUAUCUCGGUUCCAACCGCCGUCUCACGAUCAGAACAAUGAUCCAUUCCAAGAAAGCCAAUUGCAGCGCCGUCGGUUCCUGAUUACAACAUCUUGUAGUGGCCUCACUAUGAUCUCAUUUCUCGCUGCGAUGACGUCUCUGUUUCUACCUGCUCCCGCCGCUGCUUUGAAUCUCGGCAUUUGUAAGCACGCUACGCAACAUUGUUUCGUUGAGAGCAGGAACGAAGGAUUGGCUGAAGGAGCAAUAGAAGAAGGCCUCCACGUUCCUCUUGGCGCCAAUUGAUGCCUCCAGAGAUAGCCUUCGCGCCGUUCUACUUUUGCUUUCUAAUGCGUUCGAUUACUCGAACAAGGAUAUGGAGAAUGUUCGAAGAAUGCUCGUGUCUGUUGUAAGGCAUUGCGUUUUGAAUGACAGGAAUUCCUUUGUUCAAUUUCAAGGAAAUUGCAGCCAAUGCGUUCGAUUAUUCGAACAAGGAUAUGGAGAAUGUUCGAAGAAUGCUCAUGUCUGUUGUAAGGCAUUGCGUUUUGAACGACAGGCAUUCCUUUGUUCAAUUUCAAGCAAGUUGCAGCCAAUGCGUUCGAUUAUUCGAACAAGGAUAUGGAGAAUGUUCGAAGAAUGCUCAUGUCUGUUGUAAGGCAUUGCGUUUUGAAUGACAGGAAUUCCUUUGUUCAAUGUCAAGCAAGUUGCCACCAAUUUGUUCGAUUACUCAAACAAGGAUAUGGAAAAUGUUCGAAGAAUGCUCAUGUCUGUUGCAAGGCAUUGCGUUUUGAACAACAGGAAUUCCUUUGUUCAAUUUCAAGCAAGUUGCAGCCAAUGCAUUCAAUUACUCGAACAAGGAUAUGGAGACUGUUCGAAGAAUGCUCAUGUCUGUUGCAAGGCAUUGCGUUUUGAAGGACAGGAAUUCCUUUGUUCAAUUUCAAGCAAGUUGCAGCCAAUGCAUUCAAUUACUCGAACAAGGAUAUGGAGAAUGUUCGAAGAAUGCUCAUGUCUGUUGCAAGGCAUUGCGUUUUGAACGACAGGAAUUCCUGUGUUCAAUUUCAAGCAAGCACAGGAGUCGAGAUUGUCUUUAUUCGAUCGGUGGUAGCAGAGGCGAACCAGAAGCCUGCACCAAAUACAAGCGGCAGCAAGGUUUUCCAUCAUCAGGG